UGCAUUCUCCAGGCUAGCUGGCACAC
rnacentral:piRNA from 1 species